rnacentral:lncRNA from 1 species
GCCCAGAAUCAUCGGGGCAGGGCAAAUAUAAAAGAGAGCCCCACCCACUGCUGGCCUGUAGGAGACCUGAUUCUGCUGUCCUUGUUUUCAUGAUGUGAAGAAUUCAGCCUCCUGGUUUCUAAACUGUGGAAGACUGCUUGACCUCUGUGCUCAGGAGUUACUUGGAUUACAGCUCAAGUCAGGAAAAUCUACCCUGCAGGACAACUUGGCAUUACACAGUUGCUCAGCAAACAAAAGGCUAAGAUGAUUUCAAAGGGAGGAUGGUCAGCUCAAGGCCCAUACAGGAAUGGGCCAGGAAGCAGAAAGGCCAUAGGCCAGCAGGGCCGUUUCUUCAGCAAGCUGGGUUGGCUCUGAAGGAUAGACAGCUCUGCAGGAUGGAAUGUGCCCUGCCACAGGUGAGAAGAAUUGAUCAAGGAGCAUGGUCAGGAAGUCGGGGAUUCAUGAGUUGAUCCUGAGCAUGGUUUGGUCUUCACUGAGAGCAGUUGGCAAAAGUUGACAGGGUGUGUUUGACUUGGGUGUAUUCUACCCCUCAAAUAACCAAUGAUGCCUGUGUCUAAAGCAAGGAGGAAUUGCUUCCUGGAAAAAUGUUUUCCCCUUCCCCUGUCCUUCUUUCUCUUCCUUUCUUCCAUUUUCUGUAUUUCUCUAUUUCUUUCUGCUGGGGCUUCCUUUUUAAAAUUAUAGUUUACUAGGCUGAGCAUAGUGGUGUAAUCCCAGCACUCAGGAUGCUGAGGCAGGAGGAUUACCAUGAGUUUGAGGCAGUCUGGGCUACAUAGUGAGUUCAAGCUCAGCCUGAAUUAACAGAGUGAGAUCUUAUCUCAAAAAAAAAAACCCAAACAAACAUCCCCAAAACUAUAGCUUACUUACAAUAAAAUACACAUAUACUAAAUGUACAUCUCAAUAGGAUUUGACAAAUAUGUAUGCCCAUGCAACUUCCAUGUCACUCAAAAGCAUUUCCUUCACCCCAGGAACUUCUUCAUACCUUUUCCAGUCAAAUCCCUCGCCAGUUGUUCAAUUUAAAGGAUGAAUGAAUGGAUCAACAAAAUGUAGUCCACCCAUACAACAGAAUUAUUCUUUCAUAAAAAGGUUUUACUGACACAUAUUACAACAUGGGUGAACCUUGAAAAUGUUAAGCUAAGUAAAAGAAGCCUGAAACAAAAGUUUACAUAUUGUAUGAUUCCAUUUAGAUGGAAGUCCAAAAUAGGCAAAUAUACAAAGACAGAAUGUAGAUUAGUGGUUGCCAGGCACUUGAGAGGUUGAGUGCUCAGGAGUAUAAUGUUUCUUAUGGAAUUAGAUUGUGGUGAUAGCUGCGUAACGCUGUGAAUAGUCUAAAAACUGUUCCAUUGUACUUUAGAAGAGUGAACUUUGUGGUAUUGAAACAUACAUCAAUAAAGUGGUUAUUAAAUAAAAGAGCUGGGCAUAGUAGCACACAACUGUACUCCAAGCUUCUUAGGAGGCUGAGGGGGGAGUGCAAGUUCAAGGUCAGCCUGGGCAACAUAGCAAGACCCUGUUGCAUUAAAAACAACAAAAACGAUAAAAGAUAUAGAAUAUGAUCAUCAUCCCGGAAAGCGCCUUGAUGCUGUCUCAGUCAGCUCCCACUCAUUAGGAGUCCCCCUUUUUUUUUUUCAACAUUGAUUAGUUGUACCUGUUAUUGAACUUCAAAUACAGUCAUAUGUUGCUGAACAAUGGGGAUGUUCUGAGAAAUGUGAUGCUAGGCAAUUUCAUUGUUGUAUGAAUAUAACUGUGAACUUACUAGGUGGUAUGAUCUUAUGGGACUACUGUUGUAUAUUUUGUCCGUGGUUGACUGAAAUGUUUUGCUGUUCUUGACUGUAACUGUAAUUAUGUAUUGUGUACUUAUUUAUGUAUUUUUUCACUCAGCAUAAUGUUUUGAAAUUUGUUCAUGACCUUGUAAUAGUAGUCUGUGCCUCUCCCAGCCCAAGUAUAUGAUUUUUCCACAAUUUCUGUAUCUUAUAUAUGGAAGCCUGGUCUACUUCCAUUUUUUUUAUUAUUAAAAAUGAAAUGUCUAGGGCUGGGGAUGUAGCUCAGUGGUGCUGCACCUGACUGGCAAGUGCAAGGUCCUGAGUUUGAUU